AUCAACUAAGACCUCUAAAUGACCUCUCAAUGAUAAAACAGCUAGGGGUGCAGAGACAGUUAUGAGGUUUGCUUAAAAGCAAUCACCUUAAAAGAGUGUGUAAUAACUCAUUGAUCGAGCCUCUUGCGCUAAAGAUAAACAAGGUUAGACGAUCAGCCGAAGCUGU
rnacentral:rRNA from 1 species